CGCGGCCUAUCAGCUUGUUGGUGGGGUGAUGGCCUACCAAGGCGACGACGGGUAGCCGGCCUGAGAGGGUGUCCGGCCACACUGGGACUGAGAUACGGCCCGGACUCCUACGGGAGGCAGCAGUGGGGAAUAUUGCACAAUGGGCGCAAGCCUGAUGCAGCGACGCCGCGUGGGGGAUGACGGCCUUCGGGUUGUAAACCUCUUUCACCAUCGGCGAAGCCCAUAGCUUGUGUUGUGGGUGACGGUAGGUGGAGAAGAAGCACCGGCCAACUACGUGCCAGCAGCCGCGGUAAUACGUAGGGUGCGAGCGUUGUCCGGAAUUACUGGGCGUAAAGAGCUCGUAGGUGGUUUGUCGCGUUGUCCGUGAAAUUCCCUGGCUUAACUGGGGGCGUGCGGGCGAUACGGGCAGACUGGAGUACUGCAGGGGAGACUGGAAUUCCUGGUGUAGCGGUGGAAUGCGCAGAUAUCAGGAGGAACACCGGUGGCGAAGGCGGGUCUCUGGGCAGUAACUGACGCUGAGGAGCGAAAGCGUGGGGAGCGAACAGGAUUAGAUACCCUGGUAGUCCACGCCGUAAACGGUGGGUACUAGGUGUGGGUUUCCUUCCUUGGGAUCCGUGCCGUAGCUAACGCAUUAAGUACCCCGC
rnacentral:rRNA from 1 species